GGAAGGAGCCAAUCGCAGCACAGAACAGACAAGUUGACACGUGCACACCGCUGCAAGCGCCCUGUGACUGAUUCCAACUUCGAGGGGUGGGGAAGCUCUGGGCAGCGGCCCCAGCCUAAUCUUCAGUGUCCAGGGCCGGUGUGACAACACAUUGUGCAACCCUCCCGUUUUGCAGCUAGUUCCCCCUCCCCCCGCCCUUCCUUUGCUACUUCCGCUAGCUGGCAGGUUUGUUCCUCCCCCCCCUUUGCUGCUCCGCCCGGCAAGUUGGUUCCCCGCCCCCUUGCUGUUUCCACUGGCUAGCAGGUUUAUUUCCGCCCCCUUCGCCGCUCCUGCCCUACCAGGGAGCUGCGGACCGAGAAGGCUGCAGGAGCUGAGACAGGAAGCAGGGCAGUGACGCAGUUCUGGCUCAAGGGGAGGGGGGGAGGGGCUCCAGUCUUGAAUAUAACCCGCUCCCGGCUCCUGACUGACACAUUGUUUCUAGGUGUGGUUGUGAACAGACGCUCCAUAGCCCCAGGCCAGAUCACCUGGGAGAGGAGCCAAAGCCAGGGACACUGCACUGACUGGAACUGACUCUGCCAUGGCUGCUUAGAGCCAUUUCUUGCAGCUGGCUCCGAGUUGAUCAGCAACCCACCGCUGCCUCCCUGAAAGGAGAGAUGGUAGAGGAAGUGGAAGCAGAUCCCCCUAAACAGCCUGUUAACAAUGCCAAAGACUUGAAGCGCAGAGGAAAACCAGGCUGUCUUAGGAAAAUAAUGGUGCCUAUCUUCAUUGCAGCGUGAUCUGCUUAGCAUGGACCCAGUAACUUUAAGCUGCACUUCACCACCAGGCCAAGGCCCAAACACACAUGGAGGGAACAGGACCAGCAUGUGCCUGCAACACUGGAUCCCUUAGUGAAAGGGAACUUUUUUGCAACUGGUUUUUAAAAGCAUGUGGGGGGAGGGGUGUUAUUGAAAAGUAUAUGGAGGCAAACUUGGUUUGGUGUGUUUCUAAAGCUGCUGAUUUGUGUGUGAGAGGGGUCUGGGCAAGGCAUAGGUGUA